GACGAACGCUGGCGGCGUGCUUAACACAUGCAAGUCGAACGGACAGGCCCUGCUUUUGUGGGGUGCUCGAGUGGCGAACGGGUGAGUAACACGUGAGUAACCUGCCCUUGACUUUGGGAUAACUUCAGGAAACUGGGGCUAAUACCGGAUAGGAGCUCCUGCUGCAUGGUGUGGGUUGGAAAGUUUCGGCGGUUGGGGAUGGACUCGCGGCUUAUCAGCUUGUUGGUGGGGUAGUGGCUUACCAAGGCUUUGACGGGUAGCCGGCCUGAGAGGGUGACCGGCCACAUUGGGACUGAGAUACGGCCCAGACUCCUACGGGAGGCAGCAGUGGGGAAUAUGGCAGAAUGGGCGGAAGCCUGAUGCAGCAACGCCGCGUGCGGGAUGACGGCCUUCGGGUUGUAAACCGCUUUCGCCUGUGACGAAGCGUGAGUGACGGUAAUGGGUAAAGAAGCACCGGCUAACUACGUG
rnacentral:rRNA from 1 species